rnacentral:rRNA from 1 species
AUAAUUUUUUAAUAGUUAAAAUUUAUAAUUGAUUAGUAUUUGGGGGUUUAUAUUUAAAGUAGUAUUAAUUUAGUAUUUGGUGUUAUAGUAUAUAAGUUAGAAUAAAUAGUUUUAUUUUUAAAUGUAAGUGAGAUUUUGAAAUAAAUUGAAUAAAUUAAAAAUUUAAUAAGUAAAAUUAAUUUUUUGUACCUUUUGUAUCAGGGUUUUUUAAAUAAAUGUUAUUAAUUUAAUUUUCUCGAAUUAUUUAGAGUUAAUGUAAUAUGAGAGUUAGUGUUUAAUUAUUAUUUUAAAUAUUAUGUUAGUGGAGAUAUUCUUGUCAAUAAAUAAGAUAUCUAGUUUUUUUAGAAAUAAAUUUAAUUUAUUUAUUAAAUUGAAAUAUAUUAUAUUAAUUUAUUAUGUUAUUUUAUUUAAUAAAAAGAGUUUAAGGGAUUAGCUUUAAAUUUUUAUUUAAAACUUAUUGAAAAUGUUUAAAUUAAGAAGUUAUAGAUUUAAAAUUAGUUAUUGAUUAAAUUAUGUAAUAAUUUAUUUAUAUAUGGAAUUUUGAUUUUGUAUAAGUUUAAGUGGGGUGUAUAAAAAUAUUAUUAAUUAAUUAAUUAUUAUAAUAAAUAAUGAUAAAAUUAUUAUAAUUUAAUUUGUAUAUUUUAUAAGAGGAAGGGCUAUAUUUUUAAUAAAUAAAAAUAUAGUUUAUUAUAUAUAAUUAUAAGGAACUAGACAAAAUAUUAUAUUUACCUGUUUAACAAAAACAUGUCUUUUUGAAAUUUUAAUUUAAAGUCUAAUCUGCCCACUGAAAUUUAUUUAAAUGGCCGCGGUAAUUUGACCGUGCAAAGGUAGCAUAAUCAUUAGUUUUUUAAUUGAAAGCUUGUAUGAAGGAUUGGAUAAGAUAUAAAUUGUCUCAUAAUUAUUUGGGUUAAAAUUUAAUUUUUAAAUAAAAAAGUUUAAAUUUUAUUAAAGGACGAGAAGACCCUAUAGAUUUUUAUAGUAGAGGUGUUUAUUUUUAAUUAAAGUUUAUUUUUAAAUUAAAUAUUAUAUUAUUUUGUUGGGGUGACAUUAAAAUUGAAUUAACUUUUAAUAUUUUUAUUCAUUGAUUUAUGUUAUUAUUAAAUAAUUUUUAAUUUAUGAUCCUAAUUUUUAGAUUAUUAGACUAAAAUACCUUAGGGAUAACAGCGUAAUUUAUUUGGAGAGAUCACAUUAAUAAAUAAGUUUGCGACCUCGAUGUUGAAUUAAGAUUAUUUUUGGGCGUAGAAGCUUAGAUAAAUAGGUCUGUUCGACCUUUAAAAUCUUACAUGAUUUGAGUUCAGAUCGGCGUGAGCCAGAUCGGAUUCUAUCCUUAAUUAAUUUUAAUUAUUUUUGUACGAAAGGACUAAAUUUUUUAAAUAAUUUAAUUUAAAAUAUUUGGUAGAAGUUAAUAUUUAAAUA